UACGGGGGGGGCAAGCGUUGUUCGGAAUUACUGGGCGUAAAGGGCUCGUAGGCGGCCAACUAAGUCAGACGUGAAAUCCCUCGGCUUAACCGGGGAACUGCGUCUGAUACUGGAUGGCUUGAGUUCGGGAGAGGGAUGUGGAAUUCCAGGUGUAGCGGUGAAAUGCGUAGAUAUCUGGAGGAACACCGGUGGCGAAGGCGGCAGCCUGGACCGACACUGACGCUGAUGAGCGAAAGCCAGGGGAGCAAACGGG
rnacentral:rRNA from 1 species